rnacentral:rRNA from 1 species
UAACCUGCCUGGUAGCGGGGGAUAACUAUUGGAAACGAUAGCUAAUACCGCAUAACAGUAGAUGUUGCAUGACAUUUGCUUAAAAGGUGCAAUUGCAUCACUACCAGAUGGACCUGCGUUGUAUUAGCUAGUUGGUGGGGUAACGGCUCACCAAGGCGACGAUACAUAGCCGACCUGAGAGGGUGAUCGGCCACACUGAGACUGAGACACGGCCCAG